rnacentral:rRNA from 1 species
GAGUUUGAUCAUGGCUCAGGACGAACGCUGGCGGCGUGCUUAACACAUGCAAGUCGAACGGAAAGGCCCUGCUUGCAGGGUACUCGAGUGGCGAACGGGUGAGUAACACGUGGGUGAUCUGCCCUGCACUUCGGGGAUAAGCUUGGGAAACUGGGUCUAAUACCGGAUAGGAGCCAUCUUUAGUGUGGUGGUUGGAAAGUUUUUCGGUGUAGGAUGAGCUCGCGGCCUAUCAGCUUGUUGGUGGGGUAAUGGCCUACCAAGGCGGCGACGGGUAGCCGGCCUGAGAGGGUGUACGGCCACAUUGGGACUGAGAUACGGCCCAGACUCCUACGGGAGGCAGCAGUGGGGAAUAUUGCACAAUGGGCGCAAGCCUGAUGCAGCGACGCCGCGU